ACACGGGAAAGGAGGUGGUCCGAGGAAUGAAUGGCUUUCGGACGCGUGAGGUGACUGCCCGCUAGUCGCCCGUAGCAGACGGACGUGCUGCCGUCGCCGGGCCACCGGCGAAUCCUCGGCAGUCACCGGAGCCCGUGGGGGCCGCACCCUCGUCCCGUGCGGCACCCGGCCACCAGGCCGGAGCCCACGGGCUCUUCCCUG
rnacentral:sRNA from 1 species